rnacentral:rRNA from 1 species
UACGGAGGGUGCAAGCGUUGUCCGGAUUCAUUGGGUUUAAAGGGUGCGCAGGCGGGCGAUUAAGUCAGGGGUGAAAGACGGUUGCUCAACAAUCGCAGUGCCUUUGAUACUGGUUGCCUUGGGUGACCUUGAGGUAGGCGGAAUGGGUGGUGUAGCGGUGAAAUGCAUAGAUACCACCCAGAACUCCGAUUGCGAAGGCAGCCUACUGGAGGUUCACCGACGCUCAGGCACGAAAGCGUGGGGAUCAAACAGG